rnacentral:rRNA from 1 species
AUGCACAGAGUUCUGCUAUCUCACGCCAGCUUGAUUCUCUCCGCAGUGCUGGUUGUCGUACUUGCCCCUGUUACCAGGUUGUCCAGGCCAAUUUGGAGUUUCAUCGCGUCUACGAGUUCCUGUCUCGGCUCCGUAAGGAGUUUGAGCCCCGGCGUGCUCAGUUGUUUGCUCGUGGCCGUAUUUCUCUCAUGGAGGCGCUUUCUGAGAUUCGUGCUGAGGAGACUCGCUUACGUGGUGCUGGUUUGCUGGAGGUUCCCUCUGUGCUCGCUACUCGGGCUUCUUCCACGCCACCUGCUGCACCGACCCCUUCCCGCUCGAGUGCUCCGCCGCUCUUGCCCACUCCUUCUGGAGACUCAGGUCGCCCCCGUUCACAUUGCGACUACUGCAACAAUGAUGGUCAUAUUGAGUCCCAGUGCUACACGAACAGGAAACACCUGCGCAAGGCGCGAUCAUCAUCUUCGGGGCCUUCGUCAUCUACCUCGACAGCUUCAGCCAUUUCUUUGA